GAUGGCGACCGGCGCACGGGUGAGUAACACGUAUCCAACCUGCCGAUAACUCGGGGAUAACCCUUCGAAAGAAGGCCUAAUACCCGAUGGCAUAUCCCUUCCGCCUGGUGGGGAUAUUAAAGAACUUCGGUUAUCGAUGGGGAUGCGUUCCAUUAGCUUGUUGGCGGGGUAACGGCCCACCAAGGCUUCGAUGGAUAGGGGUUCUGAGAGGAAGGUCCCCCACAUUGGAACUGAGACACGGUCCAAACUCCUACGGGAGGCAGCAGUGAGGAAUAUUGGUCAAUGGACGAGAGUCUGAACCAGCCAAGUAGCGUGAAGGAUGAAGGUCCUAUGGAUUGUAAACUUCUUUUAUACGGGAAUAAAGUGCAGUAUGCAUACUGUUUUGUAUGUACCGUAUGAAUAAGGAUCGGCUAACUCCGUGCCAGCAGCCGCGGUAAUACGGAGGAUCCGAGCGUUAUCCGGAUUUAUUGGGUUUAAAGGGAGCGUAGGCGGAUGCUUAAGUCAGUUGUGAAAGUUUGCGGCUCAACCGUAAAAUUGCAGUUGAUACUGGGCGUCUUGAGUACAGUAGAGGCAGGCGGAAUUCGUGGUGUAGCGGUGAAAUGCUUAGAUAUCACGAAGAACUCCGAUUGCGAAGGCAGCCUGCUGGACUGUCACUGACGCUGAUGCUCGAAAGUGUGG
rnacentral:rRNA from 1 species